UGAUCACACCACUACUCCACCUGCCAAAGGCAGAGCCGACCAGGAUCAGUCCCCUGGGCACAUUCAUUGGUAUCGCUCUCGACAAGGAAGCUGAGACAGGCAGAAACUGCAAAAUCCUGAUCCAGAGCUGGAUGUCAAAUGUCUCUGGGGUGCUCGGUUUAUUAGACAAAUAGGGCCCAGUUAUAAAACUGGAGGCCUGAGCAGGGUUCGGGCCUACACUGGGGUGUUUGAACCUCACACUCCGUCAAGCUGAGAAAGGGGUGGGUUGGCAGAACAGGCCACAACUGUGAAAAACUGCCUCAGCUGGUAACGAGGAGGGCAGAGUUUCCUCAGGUGGGGCUCGUUAGGUUAGGCACAUAAGGAGGAAGCAUGGUUGGGCGAAGUGGUGUGUACAGAAGGAGAAAUAACCUAUGAUUUCUCCUGGGUAGGAAAGACUAGGAAGUCGGAGUAGAUGCUGAGGUGGAAGAGUGGAGUGGCCCUCCUCGCUCACCAGAGACAUUGUGCUAGCCCAGGGAAGCUACAGCCUGAGAAUGAUGGAGAGACACUGAGCCCAUCCUCCUUCUAGGCAAUGAGAUGAGCACUGUAGCUCUGAACCCUAGUGUCCAAUUCAGUAGCCUGAGAGUGAGCUUUGCCAGCUGGCCCUAGGAACAGACACUGGUUGUCCUUACGUUCCAUUGAAGCUGGGUGUGGACCAAAAGGUGCCUGUAAGUGCAACCCCUUGCUCUCCUGACAAAUUGCCAGCUGAAAGCAGCAGUUUUGGGCAACCUCAGGAAUUGAAAGGUGUGAAACCUGAGCUGUGAGGAACCCCAUUUCAGAUCUGGAGACCUUUUGGGGGAGCUUGGGACUAGCAGGUCCAAAGUGCCACUGUUUGUCCAGGCAGAAAUGCUGGUGAACCACUGUGCUGUUCAAGUCUGUCUCACCAUACCUGGUUUCCUUCUCACUUAAGGUGACUUUCUCUGUGAGGUAAUCGAAAAGCUCUCCUCUCUUCAUUCUGUGUUUAGGAAGACAAGGCAUUUAAAGAUGCUGGGCUUGAGUUACAGCCACAAUGUAAAAGAGAAAUAAAAUCUUUGGAAUCAACCACUACAUGUAAAAUGCAGUGACAACCCUGGAAAAGGUUUAGGGGGCUCACAGUUUCUCUCUGUGACAUCAAGCAAAUCUCAGUAUCUCCAACUGCAAGCCUGAAAAAAUCAAGAGUCAGGGCUCAAACAAUCAAGACAUUUGGCUUUAAAAUCAUGAGAUUUGUAAAACAAUAAAUAUGGGGUUCUUUUCA